rnacentral:tRNA from 1 species
AGGCUUGUAGCUCAGGUGGUUAGAGCGCACCCCUGAUAAGGGUGAGGUCGGUGGUUCAAGUCCACUCAGGCCUC